rnacentral:misc_RNA from 1 species
GAUGAAGAACGUAGCGAAAUGCGAUAAGUAAUGCGAAUUGCAGAAUUCCGUGAGUCAUCGAAUCUUUGAACGCACAUUGCGCCCUUUGGUAUUCCUUAGGGCAUGCCUGUUCGAGCGUCAUUUGAAACCUCAAGCUCAGCUUGGUGUUGGGUGUCUGUCCCCGCCUCCGCGGGGACUCGCCUCAAAAUCAUUGGCGGCCGGUACGUUGGCUUCGAGCGCAGCAGAAACGCGAACUCGAGGCCCGGCGGAUCGGCGACCAGAAGUCUCUUCUUCACAGUUUGACCUCGGAUCAGGUAGGGAUACCCGCUGAACUUAAGCAUAUCAAUAAGCGGAGGA